GAAAUGCGAUAAGUAAUGUGACUUGCAGAAUUCAGUGAAUCAUCGAGUCUUUGAACGCACAUUGCGCCCCUUGGUAUUCCGAGGGGCAUGCCCGUUCGAGCGUAAUUAUACCCCUCAAGCCUAGCUUGGUGUUGGGGCCUGCUGUUUCCGGCAGCCCUUAAAAUCAGUGGCGGUGCCAUCUGGCUCUAAGCGUAGUAAUACUUCUCGCUACAGGGUCCCGGUGGAUGCUUGCCAUCAACCCCUAAUUUUCUAUGGUUGACCUCGGAUCAGGUAGGGAUACCCGCUGAACUUAA
rnacentral:misc_RNA from 1 species